rnacentral:rRNA from 1 species
AUUGAACGCUGGCGGCAUGCUUUACACAUGCAAGUCGAACGGCAACACGGGGGCAACCCUGGUGGCGAGUGGCGAACGGGUGAGUAAUACAUAGGAACGUAUCCUGAAAUGGGGGAUAGCUCGGCGAAAGCCGGAUUAAUACCGCAUACGAUCUACGGAUGAAAGCAGGGGAUUCGCAAGAACCUUGCGUUUCUGGAGCGGCCUAUGUCUGAUUAGCUAGUUGGCGGGGAAAAGCCCACCAAGGCGACGAUCAGUAGCUGGUCUGAGAGGAUGAUCAGCCACACUGGGACUGAGACACGGCCCAGACUCCUACGGGAGGCAGCAGUGGGGAAUUUUGGACAAUGGGGGCAACCCUGAUCCAGCCAUGCCGCGUGAGUGAAGAAGGCCU